CCUACGGGGGGCGGCAGUGAGGAAUAUUGGGCAAUGCCCGCAAGGGUGACCCAGCAACGCCGCGUGGAGGAUGAAUGUCGUAAGAUUGUAAACUCCUGUUAGAGGGGAAGAAUAGUACCGGUUGGACCGGUAUAUGACUGUACCCUCAGAGAAAGCCCCGGCUAACUACGUGCCAGCAGCCCCGGUC
rnacentral:rRNA from 1 species